AGCAGGGAAUGCCUUCUCAUCUCUAGAGCAGUGAAAAAAGACACCAAACUACUGACACUCUCCCUUUUGAAGAGAACAAACGCCAGAAUAGGAGGGCUUUGGGGGAUGUGUUUUCUUCUGGAGCCAGGAUGUGCCUAUGUGGGACAAGAAGAUUAAUUUGUAAACUUCACGCUUGAGAGCUGAGACAUUCCCCCCGUCCCGAACAAUGGCACUCUGAUGGAUGCCUUGGCAGCGACC